GGAUCAUCGGACAAAAAGCCAUCGGUAUCGUGAACAGGGUCGGAGUUAGGGGAGUCAGGAUUCGGCGAGGCGGCGGCGGAAGAAGAACUAUGGUAAUGUACAGAGAGGUUACCCAUGCUGGCGCUUUUCUUGAUGAAAGACCCGUCGGUGAGCCUAACCCCAAAGAGCUUCACACCUCCGCCGCCGCCGGGGAGGGUAACACUGCCAGUUCUGCCACCGCGGGAGGGGCAGGUUCGGG
rnacentral:misc_RNA from 1 species